rnacentral:antisense_RNA from 1 species
CUUGAUCGAUCCCAGCAGCAGCGGCCGCCCGUGGACGCGCUCCUGUCCGUAGGUCGCCAUGAGCGCCUGAGCCUC